GGGGUUAUAGCUCAGUUGGUAGAGUGCUUGCCUCGCCUGCACAAGGCUUUGGGUUCAAUCCCUAACAUCA
rnacentral:tRNA from 1 species